rnacentral:rRNA from 1 species
GUGGGGAAUAUUGGACAAUGGGGGGAACCCUGAUCCAGCCAUGCCGCGUGUGUGAAGAAGGCCUUUUGGUUGUAAAGCACUUUAAGCGAGGAGGAGGCUACCGAGAUUAAUACUCUUGGAUAGUGGACGUUACUCGCAGAAUAAGCACCGGCUAACUCUGUGCCAGCAGCCGCGGUAAUACCGAGGGUGCACGCGUUAAUCGGCUUUACUGGGCGUAAAGCGCGCGUAGGUGGCCAAUUAAGUCAAAUGUGAAAUCCCCGAGCUUAACUUGGGAAGUGCAUUCGAUACUGGGUGGGUAGAGUAUGGGAGAUGAUGGUAGAAUGCCAGGAGUAGCGGUGAAAUGCGGAGAGAUCUGGAGGAAUACCGAUGGCGAAGGGAGCCAUCUGGCCUAAUACUGACACUGAGGGGCGAAAGCAUGGGGGGCAAACAGGAUUAGAUACCCGUGUAGUCC